rnacentral:rRNA from 1 species
CACGUAGGGUGCGAGCGUUGUCCGGAAUCAUUGGGCGUAAAGCGCGUGUAGGCGGUUCGGUAAGUCUGCUGUGAAAGUCCAGGGCUCAACCCUGGGAUGCCGGUGGAUACUGCUGAACUAGAGUGCGGAAGAGGCGAGUGGAAUUCCCGGUGUAGCGGUGAAAUGCGCAGAUAUCGGGAGGAACACCAAUUGCGAAGGCAGCUCGCUGGGACGUUACUGACGCUGAGACGCGAAAGCGUGGGGAGCAAACAGG